GGGCCCGUAGCUCAGCUGGGAGAGCGCCUGCAUGGCAUGCAGGAGGUCAUCGGUUCGAUCCCGUUCGGGUCCA
rnacentral:tRNA from 1 species